rnacentral:rRNA from 1 species
AGCGAACGCUGGCGGCAGGCCUAACACAUGCAAGUCGAACGGCAGCACAGUAAGAGCUUGCUCUUACGGGUGGCGAGUGGCGGACGGGUGACGAAUACAUCGGAAUCUACUUUUUCGUGGGGGAUAACGUAGGGAAACUUACUCUAAUACCGCAUACGACGCACGGGGGAAAGCAGGGGAUCUUUGCACCUUGUGCGAUUGAAUGAGCCGAUGUCGGAGUAGCUAGUUGGCUGGGUAAAGGCCCACGAAGGCGACGAUCGGUAGCCGGUCUGAGAGGAUGGACAGCCGCACUGGAGCUGAGACGGGGUCCAGACUCCUGAGGUAGGCAGCAGUCGGGAAUAUUAGGCAAUGGGGGGAAGCGUGAUCCAGCCAUACGGCGUAGGUCAAGAACCCGUUCGGCGUGGAAAGCCCUUUUGUUGGGAGAGAAAAGCAGCAGGUUAAUACCCCGCUGUUCUGACGGUACCGAAAGAAUAAGCACCGGCUAACUUCGUG